CGCGUAGGCGGCUAAGUAAGUUGAUGUGAAAGCCCUGGGCUUAACCCGGGAACUGCGUUGAAUACUGCUUAGCUAGAGAAUGAGAGGGGAAGAUGGAAUUAUGCAUGGAGAGGUGGAAUUCAUAGAUAUGCAUAGGAACACCAGAGGCGAAGGCGAUCUUCUGGCUCAUUACUGACGCUGAGGCGCGAAAGCGUGGGGAGCAAACAG
rnacentral:rRNA from 1 species